AACGAACGCUGGCGGCAUGCCUAACACAUGCAAGUCGAACGAGACCUUCGGGUCUAGUGGCGCACGGGUGCGUAACGCGUGGGAACCUGCCCUUAGGUUCGGAAUAACUCCCCGAAAGGGGUGCUAAUACCGGAUAAUGUCUUCGGACCAAAGAUUUAUCGCCUUUGGAUGGGCCCGCGUUGGAUUAGCUAGUUGGUAGGGUAAAAGCCUACCAAGGCGACGAUCCAUAGCUGGUCUGAGAGGAUGAUCAGCCACACUGGGACUGAGACACGGCCCAGACUCCUACGGGAGGGAGCAGAGGGGAAUAUAGGAAAAUGGGGGAAAGCCUGAUGGAGCAAGGCCGGGUGAGUGAUGAAGGCCUGAGGGUUGAAAAGCGCUUUUACCCGGGAUGAUAAUGACAGUACCGGGAGAAUAAGCACCGGCUAACUCCGUG
rnacentral:rRNA from 1 species